AUUCCUUAUUUUCUCAAGUCAUCUUCUCUGUUUAAGCCAAAAUCCAUAUCAGCUGCACAUCGACGUGUCUCAGCCUCUUUUUUAAUCCUUUUGACAUACACGCAUUCAAUUUUACAUGAUUAUUAUUAUUGUUACUUUUUUUUAAUAAUUGAGAAUGCUGAAAAUCAGAGAAGGUGACUUUCCAGAGGUUACACAGCCAACGGAGGAAUGGAUUCCAAGUCUUCUGGGUCCAUGUCCACUUCUUUGACUGUGUCACUCUUUUGUCAAUACCAUUUAGCCAAUUCCUUAGCCUCUGUUCAAAUUUGUACCACACCCCUUUGCUCCUAGAAGCGAAGAAUGUCUGUCUUGGAGACUCUCACUAUCUUCCAGAAUUGACCUAUUUUUUGUACUCUAUAUAUACUAGCAAUUAAAUAGCCAUAAAAAGUUAGAGCUUAGAAGGACCCUAUAUUUCAUCUACUCUAAUAUAUUUAUAUAUACAUGUAUGUGAGUGUGUGUGUGUGCGUGUGUACCAUAUAUAUAUAUAUUUGAUACUGGGGAUUGAACCCAGGGGUGCUCAACCACUGAGGCACAUCCCCAGCCCAUUUUGUUUUUAUUUUGAAACAGAGUCUCACUUAGUUGCUUAGGGCCUCGUUAGGUUGCUGAGGCUGGCUUUCAACUUGUGAUCCUCCCGCCUCAGCCUCCUGAACCACUGGGAUUAUAGGUGUGCACCACCAUGCCUGACUAUAAUGUUUAUCCAUCCAUUAUUCCUGCAUUCA
rnacentral:lncRNA from 1 species